ACUUUACUGCAGUGGCAGUAUCAUAGCCAAUGAGGUCCAACCGUGGCGUGAUUAUUGCUAAUUGU
rnacentral:snRNA from 1 species